rnacentral:rRNA from 1 species
UAAGGGAUAUUGGUCAAUGGGGGAAACCCUGAACCAGCAACGCCGCGUGAGGGAAGACGGUUUUCGGAUUGUAAACCUCUGUCCUCUGUGAAGAUGAUGACGGUAGCAGAGGAGGAAGCUCCGGCUAACUACGUGCCAGCAGCCGCGGUAAUACGUAGGGAGCGAGCGUUGUCCGGAUUUACUGGGUGUAAAGGGUGCGUAGGCGGCUCUGUAAGUCAGAAGUGAAAUCCAUGGGCUCAACCCAUGAACUGCUUUUGAAACUGUGGAGCUUGAGUGAAGUAGAGGUAGGCGGAAUUCCCGGUG